GCAUCUAUACAGUGAAACUGCGAAUGGCUCAUUAAAUCAGUUAUCGUUUAUUUGAUAGUACCUUACUACUUGGAUAACCGUGGUAAUUCUAGAGCUAAUACAUGCUAAAAACCUCGACUUCGGAAGGGGUGUAUUUAUUAGAUAAAAAACCAAUGCCCUUCGGGGCUCCUUGGUGAUUCAUAAUAACUUAACGAAUCGCAUGGCCUUGUGCCGGCGAUGGUUCAUUCAAAUUUCUGCCCUAUCAACUUUCGAUGGUAGGAUAGUGGCCUACCAUGGUUUCAACGGGUAACGGGGAAUUAGGGUUCUAUUCCGGAGAGGGAGCCUGAGAAACGGCUACCACAUCCAAGGAAGGCAGCAGGCGCGCAAAUUACCCAAUCCCGACACGGGGAGGUAGUGACAAUAAAUACUGAUACAGGGCUCUUUUGGGUCUUGUAAUUGGAAUGAGUACAAUUUAAAUCCCUUAACGAGGAACAAUUGGAGGGCAAGUCUGGUGCCAGCAGCCGCGGUAAUUCCAGCUCCAAUAGCGUAUAUUAAAGUUGUUGCAGUUAAAAAGCUCGUAGUUGAACCUUGGGCCUGGUUGGCCGGUCCGCCUCACCGCGUGCACUGGUCCGACCGGGUCUUUCCUUCUGGGGAGCCGCAUGCCCUUCACUGGGUGUGUCGGGGAACCAGGACUUUUACUUUGAAAAAAUUAGAGUGUUCAAAGCAGGCCUAUGCUCGAAUACAUUAGCAUGGAAUAAUAGAAUAGGACGUGUGGUUCUAUUUUGUUGGUUUCUAGGACCGCCGUAAUGAUUAAUAGGGAUAGUCGGGGGCAUCAGUAUUCCAUUGUCAGAGGUGAAAUUCUUGGAUUUAUGGAAGACUAACUACUGCGAAAGCAUUUGCCAAGGAUGUUUUCAUUAAUCAGUGAACGAAAGUUAGGGGAUCGAAGACGAUCAGAUACCGUCGUAGUCUUAACCAUAAACUAUGCCGACUAGGGAUCGGGCGAUGUUAUCUUUUUGACUCGCUCGGCACCUUACGAGAAAUCAAAGUC
rnacentral:rRNA from 1 species